AACGAACGCUGGCGGCGUGCCUAACACAUGCAAGUCGAGCGCGAAAAGGGCAACCUGAGUAGAGCGGCGCACGGGUGCGUAACACGUGGGUAAUCUGCCUUGGAGUCGAGGAUAACUUUCCGAAAGGUUAGCUAAUACUCGGUAAGCUUACGGAGACUUCGGUCUUUGUGAGAAAAGUAGGCCUCUAUUUAUAAGCUUACGCUUCGAGAUGAGCCCGCGGCCCAUCAGCUAGUUGGCGGUGUAACGGACCACCAAGGCAACGACGGGUAGCUGGUCUGAGAGGACGAUCAGCCACACUGGAACUGAGACCCGGUCCAGACUCCUACGGGAGGCAGCAGUGGGGAAUUUUCCACAAUGGGCGAAAGCCUGAUGGAGCAACGCGGCGUGUGUGAUGAAGGUUUUCGGAUCGUAAAGCACUUUCGACCGGGACGAAAAACCUCUGGCUAACAUCCAGGGGCCUGACGGUACCGGGAGAAGAAGCACCGGCUAACUCUGUGCCAGCCGCCGCAGUAA
rnacentral:rRNA from 1 species